UACGAAGGGGGCUAGCGUUGUUCGGAAUCACUGGGCGUAAAGGGCGCGUAGGCGGCUGUUCAAGUCGGGGGUGAAAGCCUGUGGCUCAACCACAGAAUUGCCUUCGAUACUGGACGGCUGGAGACCGGAAGAGGUCAGUGGAACUGCGAGUGUAGAGGUGAAAUUCGUAGAUAUUCGCAAGAACACCAGUGGCGAAGGCGGCUGACUGGUCCGGUUC
rnacentral:rRNA from 1 species